GUGCCAGCAGCCGCGGUAAUACGGAGGGUGCAAGCGUUGUUCGGAAUUAUUGGGCGUAAAGAGCGUGUAGGCGGUUUGGCAAGUCAGGCAUGAAAUCCCCGGGCUUAACCUGGGAACUGCGUUUGUGACUGCAAGGCUAGAGUACGGCAGAGGGGGGUGGAAUUCCACGUGUAGCAGUGAAAUGCGUAGAUAUGUGGAGGAACACCGAUGGCGAAGGCAGCCCCCUGGGCCUGUACUGACGCUCAUGCACGAAAGCGUGGGGAGCAAACAGGAUUAGAUACCCUGGUAGUCCACGCCCUAA
rnacentral:rRNA from 1 species